rnacentral:rRNA from 1 species
UACAGAGGGUGCAAGCGUUGUUCGGAAUUAUUGGGCGUAAAGAGCGUGUAGGCGGUUCGGUAGGUCCGUUGUGAAAACUCGAGGCUCAACCUCGAGACGCCGAUGGAAACCAUCGAACUAGAGUCCGGAAGAGGAGAGUGGAAUUCCUGGUGUAGCGGUGAAAUGCGCAGAUAUCAGGAAGAACACCCGUGGCUAAGGCGGCUCUCUAGUACGGUACUGACGCUGAGACGCGAAAGCGUGGGGAGCGAACAGG